AUUUGGUCGUAGACCCGAAACCAGGUGAUCUACCCUUGGUCAGGUUGAAGUUCAGGUAACACUGAAUGGAGGACCGAACCGACUUACGUUGAAAAGUGAGCGGAUGAACUGAGGGUAGCGGAGAAAUUCCAAUCGAACCUGGAGAUAGCUGGUUCUCUCCGAAAUAGCUUUAGGGCUAGCCUCAAGUGAUGAUUAUUGGAGGUAGAGCACUGUUUGGACGAGGGGCCCCUCUCGGGUUACCGAAUUCAGACAAACUCCGAAUGCCAAUUAAUUUAACUUGGGAGUCAGAACAUGGGUGAUAAGGUCCGUGUUCGAAAGGGAAACAGCCCAGACCACCAGCUAAGGU
rnacentral:rRNA from 1 species